rnacentral:tRNA from 1 species
GGGUUGUUAGCUCAGUUGGUAGAGCAGCUGACUCUUAAUCAGCGGGUCGCAGGUUCG